rnacentral:misc_RNA from 1 species
GAUGAAGAACGCAGCGAAAUGCGAUAAGUAGUGUGAAUUGCAGAAUUCAGUGAAUCAUCGAAUCUUUGAACGCACAUUGCGCCCCUUGGUAUUCCAUGGGGCAUGCCUGUUCGAGCGUCAUUUGUACCUUCAAGCUUUGCUUGGUGUUGGGUGUUUGUCUCGCCUUUGCGUGUAGACUCGCCUUAAAAUAAUUGGCAGCCGGCGUAUUGAUUUCGGAGCGCAGUACAUCUCGCGCUUUGCACUCAUAACGACAGCGUCCAAAAGUACAUUUUACACUCUUGACCUCGGAUCUGGUAGGGAUACCCGCUGAACUUAAGCAUAUCAAUAAGCGGAGGA